AGGUCCUGUUUGCCAAAAACCAGGGCGAUGUUAGCGUGUGCGCCGGCGAGAUCGAGACCUUCAUCCGAGUGCACCAGACCUCGGACCUCAGCAAGUCACCCAUUUUGCAAGUGUUCAUGAUCCGCCAGCUGCGCGGUCUGCGGGUCAACCUCUCCGGACUGGGACCUCUCAGCUGGUUGGUGAACCGGCUCCAGAGGUCCCUCAUCAACAUGUUCAGGAUACGCAUCCAGAGUCUGCUUCAGGAGAGGGUGCAUGGCCUGAUCCAGACAGAGCUCAACAAAUUCAGCCUGUCCGAGCUCAGCAUGCGAGACAUUAUUGCAUGACGGCAGGCUCCAGGGGUGUCCAACCCGGCCACCACGCCGCACGGCUGAGUCGGACACCCCUGGAGUAAUCUCCCCCAUCGCCUGACGAGAAAGGACGACAUUUCUGCAAGACUUCGGGAUGAGGAAAGCAGAGUUAAGCCUCCACUAGAGUCUAUCAAAUGAUCGCUAGAAGAAAUAAUCAACGACGCAGCUUAUAGCCUCAGUUGCGUAAAAAUUCACCGAACAUAGGAUGCGUGCAAGAAAGGGUGGUGACUGGUGACCAAAGUAUUACUAAACUCUUCGACUCCUUGUAUCCGCCGAACCGUAUACUAUAGGGUUCAGACACGUUGAAAGUUAACAGGCUUCACUAAAAUAAUCCGAUUGGCAUCUGGCCUGGUGGCAUAGUAAGAGCGGCAAGGAGCACUACGAUACCGCAUAAGUUUACAACAUUCCAUAAUGCAUUUGCAAUAGGCAUAUAAAGUGUCGGGGUACGGCCGAGAGUAACAACUGGGACCCAAGAGCUAGUCUAGUAUUAUACAUACAGCCGAUAUGUAAGCCUGCAUCGAUUCAUAUCAAUAGCUCAUGUCACGUGACAUUAAUCACUACAUAAACUAGUCAAAUGGACCGGUUGAACCAGCGCUUUAUAACCGGUUCACCCUCUGAUGAGUGGUUCCAGUUAGGAGACGUCUUGUUCAUCUCGCAGACGCAAUGUGUCGAGACGAGUUGAUGACGUUGCGAAAGGAGUGCAAGUCUCCACUCGGCCUUGGCAAGCUUACUCAAUGUGACAUACGCUGCCCCGGUGACCAUAUCUGACGCAUAUGUGACGAUUCGCGACAAUGUGAAAUGGUUUGUAAUAGGCUGGUA